rnacentral:rRNA from 1 species
CCUACGGGUGGCAGCAGUGGGGAAUAUUGGACAAUGGGCGAAAGCCUGAUCCAGCCAUGCCGCGUGUGUGAAGAAGGCCUUCGGGUUGUAAAGCACUUUCAGUGGGGAAGAAAGCCUUGGGGCUAAUACCCUCGAGGAAGGACAUCACCCACAGAAGAAGCACCGGCUAACUCCGUGCCAGCAGCCGCGGUAAUACGGAGGGUGCGAGCGUUAAUCGGAAUUACUGGGCGUAAAGCGCGCGUAGGCGGUCUGAUAAGCCGGUUGUGAAAGCCCCGGGCUCAACCUGGGAACGGCAUCCGGAACUGUCAGGCUAGAGUGCAGGAGAGGAAGGUAGAAUUCCCGGUGUAGCGGUGAAAUGCGUAGAGAUCGGGAGGAAUACCAGUGGCGAAGGCGGCCUUCUGGACUGACACUGACGCUGAGGUGCGAAAGCGUGGGUAGUAAACAGGAUUAGAUACCCGAGUAGUC